rnacentral:rRNA from 1 species
UACGUAGGGACCGAGCGUUGUCCGGAAUCAUUGGGCGUAAAGAGCGUGUAGGCGGCCACUUAAGUCCUGCGUGAAAUCUUGCGGCUCAACCGCAAGCGGUCGUGGGAAACUGGGUGGCUAGAGUGCGGGAGAGGAGAGUGGAAUUCCUGGUGUAGCGGUGGAAUGCGCAGAUAUCAGGAAGAACACCCGUGGCGAAGGCGGGUCUCUGGGACGGUACUGACGCUGAGACGCGAAAGCGUGGGGAGCGAACAGG